GCCCAGACUCCUACGGGAGGCAACAGUGGGGGAUAUUGGACAAUGGGGGGAACCCUGAUCCAGCGACGCCGCGUGAGUGAAGAAGUAUCUCGGUAUGUAAAGCUCUAUCAGCAGGGAAGAAAGAAAUGACGGUACCUGAGUAAGAAGCCCCGGCUAACUACGUGCCAGCAGCCGCGGUAAUACGGAGGGGGCAAGCGUUAUCCGGAUUUAUUGGGUUUAAAGGGUGCGCAGGCGGAUUUUUAAGUCAGCGGUCAAAUCGUGGGGCUCACCCCCAUCCAGCCGUUGAAACUGGGGAUCUAGAGUGUGCGAGAGGUAUGCGGAAUGCGUGGUGUAGCGGUGAAAUGCAUAGAUAUCGCGCAGAACCCCGAUUGCGAAGGCAGCAUACCGGUGCACAACUGACGCUCAGGCACGAAAGCGUGGGUAUCGAACAGGAUUAGAUCCCCUUGUA
rnacentral:rRNA from 1 species